UACGUAGGGGGCUAGCGUUGUCCGGAUUUAUUGGGCGUAAAGAGCGUGUAGGCGGCCAGGUAGGUCUGCUGUGAAAACUCGAGGCUCAACCUCGAGACGUCGGCGGAAACCAUCUGGCUAGAGUCCGGAAGAGGAGAGUGGGAAUUCCUGGUGUAGCGGUGAAAUGCGCAGAUAUCAGGAAGAACACCCGUGGCGAAGGCGGCUCUCUGGGACGGUACUGACGCUGAGACGCGAAAGCGUGGGGAGCGAACAGG
rnacentral:rRNA from 1 species